rnacentral:rRNA from 1 species
GAUCUAGGCUCGUACGAUUGGUGACCAGCGGAGGGAUCAUUACCGAGUUUACAACUCCCAAACCCAAUGUGAACCAUACCAAACUGUUGCCUCGGCGGGGUCACGCCCCGGGUGCGUCGCAGCCCCGGAACCAGGCGCCCGCCGGAGGGACCAACCAAACUCUUUUCUGUAGUCCCCUCGCGGACGUUAUUUCUUACAGCUCUGAGCAAAAAUUCAAAAUGAAUCAAAACUUUCAACAACGGAUCUCUUGGUUCUGGCAUCGAUGAAGAACGCAGCGAAAUGCGAUAAGUAAUGUGAAUUGCAGAAUUCAGUGAAUCAUCGAAUCUUUGAACGCACAUUGCGCCCGCCAGUAUUCUGGCGGGCAUGCCUGUCCGAGCGUCAUUUCAACCCUCGAACCCCUCCGGGGGGUCGGCGUUGGGGACCUCGGGAGCCCCUAAGACGGGAUCCCGGCCCCGAAAUACAGUGGCGGUCUCGCCGCAGCCUCUCCUGCGCAGUAGUUUGCACAACUCGCACCGGGAGCGCGGCGCGUCCACGUCCGUAAAACACCCAACUUCUGAAAUGUUGACCUCGGAUCAGGUAGGAAUACCCGCUGAACUUAAGCAUAUCAAUAAGCGGAGGA